rnacentral:rRNA from 1 species
UUUAUGGAGAGUUUGAUCCUGGCUCAGGAUGAACGCUGGCGGCGUGCCUAAUACAUGCAAGUUGAGCGAACAGACGAGGAGCUUGCUCCUUUGACGUUAGCGGCGGACGGGUGAGUAACACGUGGGUAACCUACCUAUAAGACUGGGAUAACUUCGGGAAACCGGAGCUAAUACCGGAUAAUAUUUCGAACCGCAUGGUUCGAUAGUGAAAGAUGGCUUUGCUAUCACUUAUAGAUGGACCUGCGCCGUAUUAGCUAGUUGGUAAGGUAACGGCUUACCAAGGCAACGAUACGUAGCCGACCUGAGAGGGUGAUCGGCCACACUGGAACUGAGACACGGUCCACGGU